UGGGGUUGUGGCUCAAUGGUGGAGCACUCUCCUACCACAUGUGAGGCCCUUUGUUCGAUCCUUAGCACCACAA
rnacentral:tRNA from 1 species